rnacentral:lncRNA from 1 species
UCACCAACAGCUGGGCAUCCAGUUUAGCAGAACAGAUUUUGCACAGAGAGAGCCUGGCAUGUUCCUGAAUCAGUAUAGUGAAGGAGACAAAAAAGUAGUUUCUUAUGGAUUGGGGACUUAUAAAGACAUAGAGCAUCUGUUCCUCAGUUUAGUCAUAGUCUGGUUGCACUGAAUCAUGUUUAAAGCUAGAAUAAUGUGUAAAACUUUUUCACCUUGCUCAUACCUUUAUUUUAAUAUCUAGUGUAUUAUUUUUGCAAAUAAAAUGCUUUCAACAUCUCCAUUGAAGGUAUGUAAAUGAUUUUGCUCUUAUCUAUAAUUUUUCGUUAGUGAUAUUUUAAAACACACAAAGAUACUAAUUUUUUACUAAGAUUAUUUUAUUAUAUAACUUUAAAGUUUGAAUUGUAUGAUAGUGCAUAUAUAUACAACUCAUAUAUGAAAAUCCAUUUAAAUAUUUAAUUAUGAUUUCAUCUUGAUAUAUGCUA